ACUCAAAUGAAUUGACGGGGGCCCGCACAAGCAGCGGAGCGUGUGGUUUAAUUCGACGCAACGCGCAGAACCUUACCAGGUCUUGACAUACAUAGGAAGUUGUUAGAGAUAGCAACGCUUUUCGGAGCCUAUGCACAGAUGCUGCAUGGCUGUCGUCAGCUCGUGCCGUGAGGUGUUGGGUUAAGUCCCGCAACGAGCGCAACCCUCGUCGCUAGUUGUACUUUUCUAGCGAGACCGCUGUGCAAAACGCAGAGGAAGGUGGGGAUGACGUCAAGUCAGCACGGCUCUUACGACCUGGGCUACACACACGCUACAAUGGACGGUACAACGGGUUGCUAAGCCGCGAGGUGGAGCUAAUCCCAUCAAAACCGUCCUCAGUUCAGAUUGCAGGCUGAAACUCGCCUGCAUGAAGUCGGAGUUGCUAGUAACCGCAGGUCAGCACACUGCGGUGAAUACGUUCCCGGGCCUUGUACACACCGCCCGU
rnacentral:rRNA from 1 species